rnacentral:misc_RNA from 1 species
GAUGAAGAACGCAGCGAAAUGCGAUACGUAAUGUGAAUUGCAGAAUUCAGUGAAUCAUCGAGUCUUUGAACGCACAUUGCGCCCCCUGGUAUUCUGGCGGGCAUGCCUGUCCGAGCGUCAUUUCAACCCUCAAGCCCCCGGGCUUGGUGUUGGAGAUCGGCGAGCCCCCCGGGGCGCGCCGUCUCCCAAAUAUAGUGGCGGUCCCGCUGUAGCUUCCUCUGCGUAGUAGCACACCUCGCACUGGGAAACAGCGUGGCCACGCCGUAAAACCCCCCACUUCUGAAAGGUUGACCUCGGAUCAGGUAGGAAUACCCGCUGAACUUAAGCAUAUCAAUAAGCGGAGGA